rnacentral:rRNA from 1 species
CCUACGGGGGGCUGCAGUGAGGAAUAUUGGUCAAUGGGCGCUAGCCUGAACCAGCCAAGUAGCGUGAAGGAUGACUGCCCUAUGGGUUGUAAACUUCUUUUAUAUGGGAAUAAAGUGCAGUAUGUAUACUGCUUUGCAUGUACCUUAUGAAUAAGGAUCGGCUAACUCCGUGCCAGCAGCCGCGGUAAUACGGAGGAUCCGAGCGUUAUCCGGAUUUAUUGGGUUUAAAGGGAGCGUAGGCGGGUUGUUAAGUCAGUUGUGAAAGUUUGCGGCUCAACCGUAAAAUUGCAGUGGAUACUGGCAGCCUUGAGUACAGUAGAGGUAGGCGGAAUUCGUGGUGUAGCGGUGAAAUGCUUAGAUAUCACGAAGAACUCCGAUUGCGAAGGCAGCCUGCUGGACUGUAACUGACGCUGAUGCGCGAAAGUGUGGGUAUCAAACAGGAUUAGAUACCCCUGUAGUC